rnacentral:rRNA from 1 species
GUGGGGAAUUUUGGACAAUGGGCGCAAGCCUGAUCCAGCCAUGCCGCGUGCAGGAUGAAGGCCUUCGGGUUGUAAACUGCUUUUGUACGGAACGAAAAGACUCCUUCUAAUAAAGGGGGUCCAUGACGGUACCGUAAGAAUAAGCACCGGCUAACUACGUGCCAGCAGCCGCGGUAAUACGUAGGGUGCGAGCGUUAAUCGGAAUUACUGGGCGUAAAGCGUGCGCGGGCGGUUAUGUAAGACAGAUGUGAAAUCCCCGGGCUCAACCUGGGAACUGCAUUUGUGACUGCAUAGCUAGAGUACGGCAGAGGGGGAUGGAAUUCCGCGUGUAGCAGUGAAAUGCGUAGAUAUGCGGAGGAACACCGAUGGCGAAGGCAAUCCCCUGGGCCUGUACUGACGCUCAUGCACGAAAGCGUGGGGAGCAAACAGGAUUAGAAACCCGAGUAGUCC